rnacentral:rRNA from 1 species
CUUGAUAUACCGCAUUCCACACAGCUAAUGCUGUCAGAUUUUAGAAGCUACGCAGAGUUGUCCUUGUUAGAAUUUGGAUGAGAGACCACCAGGGAACACUAGAGAUAGACAAGU